UGCUGACUGGUGGACCCUCGCUCCCUCGCUCCUUUACUCCAGACAAAGAAAGGGGAUCUGGAGAUGCGCAAGCACGCAGGUCCCCCAGGCUACACGCCCCAGCCCUCCCCUUUCAGGUGCACUUAAUAUCUGCAGCAGCAGCAAAUUUGUCUUGGAGGCAAGUCCUUAGCUGCCACUCACUGUAAGCAGGCCAUAUUAAAUUUUUAUAUUUAUUGACAAUUCAUUACCAUAAUUGACUGUGCCAGAGUUUUUUUUUCGUUUUUUUUUUUUUCCUGCAGGUGGGUAGACGGCCCCGGCCCCCGAAGAGCACCGAGGGCUCCCCGGGAGGUGGAUUUGCAAUUAAAAAAUGCAGGCUCUUUCAACACCAGCUGUUCAUUAAGCCGAAAUAUGCAAAUCAGACGCAGCCUCCCGCAUGGACCCUGUUGCUCUCGGUCAGCCCUCACUACACGACGCGACCACACACCAUACACACACUGAACCCAGACAUCAGCUCGCAGCGAGGCUUAAAUUCUGUAUCUUUAUAUCUUUAGAAUCACCGCCAUCUUUAAAACAGUGGACAUGGAAGCGAGGCUGUUCGGCGCCUGUUUCUCCGUCAUUUAAUAUUUAUGCCUGUUUUUGAGCAAUUUGUUGAAGUUCGGGAUUUUGUAGAAAGCCGGGAAUAAAACGAUUAAAA